rnacentral:rRNA from 1 species
AACGAACGCUGGCGGCAGGCUUAACACAUGCAAGUCGAACGCCCCGCAAGGGGAGUGGCAGACGGGUGAGUAACGCGUGGGAAUCUACCCAGAUCUUCGGAACAACUGAGGGAAACUUCAGCUAAUACCGGAUACGCCUACGGGGAAAGAGAUUAUCGGUUCUGGAUGAGCCCGCGUUGGAUUAGCUAGUUGGUGGGGUAAUGGCCUACCAAGGCGACGAUCCAUAGCUGGUCUGAGAGGAUGAUCAGCCACACUGGGACUGAGACACGGCCCAGACUCCUACGGGAGGCAGCAGUGGGGAAUAUUGGACAAUGGGCGAAAGCCUGAUCCAGCCAUGCCGCGUGAGUGAUGAAGGCCUUAGGGUUGUAAAGCUCUUUCAGUAGGGAAGAUAGUGACGGUACCUACAGAAGAAGCCCCGGCUAACUUCGUGCCAGCAGCCGCGGUAAUACGAAGGGGGCUAGCGUUGUUCGGAUUUACUGGGCGUAAAGCGCACGUAGGCGGAUCGUUAAGUCGGGGGUGAAAUCCUGGAGCUCAACUCCAGAACUGCCUUCGAUACUGGNGAUCUUGAGUCCGGAAGNGGUGAGUGGAACUCCUAGUGUAGAGGUGGAAUUCGUAGAUAUUAGGAAGAACACCAGUGGCGAAGGCGGCUCACUGGUCCGGUACUGACGCUG